rnacentral:misc_RNA from 1 species
UCUCCGUAGGUGAACCUGCGGAGGGAUCAUUACAGAGUUCUCGCCCUCACGGGUAGAUCUCCCACCCACUGUUAUCGUUACUGUCGUUUCUUUGGCGGGCCGCCGGGUCCCCGGCCGCCGGCGCCUAGCUGCCGGCGCGCGCCCGCCAGAGGCCUUCAAACUCUGAAUGUUAGUGUCGUCUGAGUACUAUAUAAUAGUUAAAACUUUCAACAACGGAUCUCUUGGUUCU